UACGUAGGCAGCGAGCGUUGUUCGGAGUUACUGGGCGUAAAGAGUGCGUAGGCGGUUUUCUAAGUUUGGUGUGAAAUCUCCCGGCUUAACUGGGAGGGUGCGCCGAAAACUGGAAGGCUUGAGUAUGGGAGAGGUAAGCGGAAUUCCUGGUGUAGCGGUGAAAUGCGUAGAUAUACAGGAGGAACACCUGCGGUGUAGACGGCUUACUGGACCAUAACUGACGCUGAGGCACGAAAGCGUGGGUAGCAAACAGG
rnacentral:rRNA from 1 species